rnacentral:rRNA from 1 species
GACGUAGGAUGCAAGCGUUGUCCGGAUUUAUUGGGCGUAAAGAGUUCGUAGGUGGUUUGUUAAGUCUGAUGUUAAAGACUGAGGCUCAACCUCGGGAGUGCAUUGGAUACUGGCAGACUAGAGUAUGGUAGAGGCAAGCGGAAUUCCCAGUGUAGCGGUGAAAUGCGUAGAUAUUAGGAAGAACACCAGUGGCGAAGGCGGCUCACUGGCUCGGUACUGACGCUGAGGCGCGAAAGCGUGGGGAGCAAACAGG